GCUCGCAAAAGGACGGUCAAGUGUUUCCAGCGCGGAAAGUUCAUGUUUAUUAGCCGCCGUGCGUUCAUACAAAAGGGAGAGUGCAAUUUAAAAUGAAGCCAAAGGUAAUGUUUUGUUGGCUACGCGAGAUGUGAGUUCAGUGGCUAGCCGUGACUGUGUCUGCUAACUCAUUGCUGACAAGUGUUUGUGCGUGUGUGUGUGCGUGGGGCGAUUAAAUUGAAUUGAUGUGAUAUUCAAGCUGUUGUGCUGGCACAAAUUAUGCUGAAGUUGUCGCAAUGAAAUUAUACGCUGUAAAAAUUGUUAAAGUGUCAGCUGCUGUUAGUAACUCUGCACUUGUCAAGGAAAUGCUCGGCAUAAUGCCAUUUCCUUUAAGCGGAAGUCAUAAGUUUCAAGUGAAAUGUGCCACGGAACUACUGAAGUUAUAAAUAUACUUCCGCCAAUAUUAUUGCAAGUGAAGUGUGUUAGUGUGUGCCAGCGACUUGUAUAUUGAAAGUAAAAAAAAAAAAACGCAAAAAAGGGCGUUAAGUGAAUACAAGCAGAAGUGCCAAAGCAAUUACAGUGUGUGCAAAUAGUCUUUAAAUAUUUAUCUAGCUUUUGGACCAUCAGCCAGUGUUUAAUAAAUAUACUAAAUGAGUCUCUGACAAAAAAAAAAUAUCAGAGCGCCUUGCAGAAAGAUUGCAGGGCAAUAUUUGAAACAAAAAGUCAGAAAAAUCUUAAGUAAGGCACACCGCAAGCGAGCCAAGCGCAGUUUGGCACAGUUCAACAAAUCACCGAUUCCGUUAAACGUGUGCGAGUCGUGUGCGCCAAGUGCGCUGACCAAGCGUGGUCUAACGCAGAUAUGCUUGAACAACUGUAAUUUUAAUUGUUGUGGGUCAAAGUGUGUGCUGAAAGCUCGAAGCCGACAUAAUUGUUGCGCAAACAAAACGCAGACAAGCGAUUCGACCAAACGCAAUCAGUAAACAAUACAUAUUUAUAUACGAAUACAUACAUAAAUCCACACAUAAAUACCUACAUAUAUAUAAAUAUAUAUAAGCACGCACUUAUACGUUUAAGCUAGUGCAUGGAAACAACCUCUGCUUGUUUGUUGUAUGCCGCACAAGCAGCGCAAGGCAAGUUUGUUAUCGCUUCAUCGAAUCGGCAAGCGUUUGCAUGUGCAUGUGAAAAGGAAACCACAGCGCGUGUGGGUGUGUGCGUGAGUUGAAGGCCAUUGCAGCAAGCUGCGCUUCGUGUCAACGACAGUGAAGCUGCGUAAGCACGCGUUCGUGCAAAGGCUCAGCUACAACCGUAACAAAAACAACAGUAACAACAACGAGAACGGGCGUCAACUAUCCGCCGUCAAUCGCGGUUGCGGCUGAGUUGGGUAACGUCCUUCAAGCGCCAUCAUUGUCGCAAACAACAAGCAAUUUCUGACAGCAGUUGUCAUCGCUAAUAACAAUAGCAGCAACAACGCGACGUUGGUGUGCUGUUUUUAGUCAUACGAUUUUUUUUUUAAUUUUCGUAAAUCUUCUUUAGCUAUCGACGUUGCGGCGCUGAGCUUUCGACUGUCGCCUUGUUGGUCCGCGCUGUCGUCGCGCGUGUCGUCAUUUUGGUAAUUGCCACAGCCUUUCGCAGUCGUCGUAGCAGUAGCGGCAGACAAGCGAGCAAGCGCAAGUAAACAAGUAAAAAAAUAUUGCAUAUAACGGAAUUUCACAUGAAAUGUUGCUGGAAUACGUAAUGAUGCUGCUUGUGUUCGGAUUAACCACAAACGUUGAGCGAAGUCAAAGCAACGCAUACGCAUUCGAAGGUACAACCAGAUAUCCACCACAUCACCAUCACCCGCCGCCCCAAAAUGCGCUCACUUCAAGCGGACACCAUCACCCACAACAUCACUUUGACUCAAUAUCGCUAGCAGGCCACCUAGCAGCCUCGUCACUUGUGUCAUCCUCAUCGCCAUCGCUCGCAUCAUUAUCACAGCUCGAGCUGUCCAAUGUCAUUGUGGACAGUUUCGAAGGUGUGGGUGGUAUAGCAGGUGGCGGCGGUGAGCCGCAAUUUGAAAAUACCACCGAACGCGAGGUGAUUGCGGCUGUCGGUACGACCGCACGGUUGCACUGUCGUGUGCGAAAUCUAGGAGAUCGAGCUGUCUCAUGGAUACGUAAGCGUGACCUACAUAUUCUUACCAUCGGCAUCAUGACAUACACGAAUGAUCAGCGUUUUCUGGCGCGUCACACCGACAACUCGGAUGAAUGGGUGUUGAAGGUGGUGUCGGUGCAGCCGCGCGAUGCUGGCGUCUACGAGUGUCAGGUGUCGACAGAGCCGAAAAUUAGUCAGGCAUACAAGCUGAUGGUUGUGACAUCGAAAGCGCAGAUACUGUCGAAUCGUGAGCUUUAUAUACAAAGCGGCAGCGAUAUAAAUCUGACGUGCAUCGCACCGCAAGCGCCCGGCCCGUACACGCAUAUGAUGUGGUACAAGGACAGCGAAUUAAUUAACGACUCAACGCGCGGUGGUAUACGCGUCGUAUCGGAGCAGCAAAUGAAGACGAGCAAUUUGGUGAUAUCGCGGGUGCUGCACCGGGACUCGGGGAAUUACACAUGUGCAGCAGAUAAUUCAAAUUCGGAUAGUGUGUUAGUGCAUAUCAUCAAAAGUGAGCAGCAUGCGGCCAUGCAACAUGAGCUUGCCACGCGCAUGCAGACGCCGCGACUGAUGCUGGUAUUACUGGCAUUUUUCUAUGUGAGUUGAUUAUUCGAGCGCGCAAUUAAAUGAAUGGAGUACGGUUGCGCUAUGAGUUAGUGUAACUUAAAUUAAGGAUUAGCAACAAAAACAAUAAGAUACUUGAAACUAUUGAAUAAGCAGCAGAAAAUAAUACUACUAAAUAAGUCUUAAAGUUGCAACAGCUUAGCUGUUCGAAGCGCAUAUGCAGCGAAGAGGCCACAAUGGAGAUGCGCAUGUGAAGUCACUGGACUCACCACUCAGCACGCUUGCGUCAGCACUAUUGCAGAACCAAAGAAACCAAGUAACCAAGACAACGAAUGUGCGUUGAGUUAUACGUUGAGGGAAGGAUGCGCCGCUGCUGCAGCUCAAUUUUCGUACAUUUGUGUGCACAAGAGACUUGAUAAUUGUUAGUUGUUCUUACAUAUAGCUGUCUGAUAGCUGUAACUAAUCCUUUACUUGCUGUUAAUUUACGAUUUUCCAUUAUUUGGUAUUUGCGUUUAUUAGCUUUAAUGCGAUAUUUUGUUAUGGUUGUAUGUAUGUAUAUUCUGAAGCGUUAUAUUUCACUUGUAAAUGUAGUUAAUUAUACAUUAUUUGUAAGUAUUUUUGUACUUAAUAAUAGCUGAUAAGUUAAGGAUUUUAAGUGAAUGUGUAUGUGUGUGCGAGGGAGUUGAAAUUGACAGCAAAUCAAAAGUGUAACUCAAUAAUUCAAUGUGUAUAUAUAAAAAAAUAUGAAACAAUAAAUAUUAUUAUUAA